AUUCCUACGGGAGGCAGCAGUGGGGAAUAUUGGACAAUGGGCGCAAGCCUGAUCCAGCCAUGCCGCGUGUGUGAAGAAGGCCUUCGGGUUGUAAAGCACUUUUGUUGGGAAAGAAAUCCUGUCGAUUAAUACUCGGCGGGGAUGACGGUACCCAAAGAAUAAGCACCGGCUAACUUCGUGCCAGCAGCCGCGGUAAUAAU
rnacentral:rRNA from 1 species